rnacentral:rRNA from 1 species
GAUGAACGCUGGCGGCGUGCCUAAUACAUGCAAGUCGAGCGAACAGACGAGGAGUUUGCUCCUCUGCCGUUAGCGGCGGACGGGUGAUUACCACGGGGAUAACCUACCUAUAAGAAUGGGAUACCUUCAGGAAACCGGAGUCAAGACCGGAUAAUAUAUAGAACCUCACGGUUCAACAGUGAAAGACGGUUCAGCUGAAACUUCUACGUGGAUCCACGCCGCAUCAGCUAGUUGGUAAGGUAACGGCGUACCAAGGCAACGAUGCGUAGCGGACCUGAUAGUGUGAUCGGCCACACUGGAACUGAGACACGGUCCAGACUCCUACGGUAGGCAGCAGUAGGGAAUCUUCCGCAAUGGGCGAGAGCCUGACGGAGCAACGCCGCGUGAGUGAUGAAGGUCUUCGGAUCGUAAAGCUCUGUUAUUAGGGAAGAACUAAUGUGUAAGUAACUAUGCACGUCUUGACGGUACCUAAUCAGAAAGCCCCGGCUAACUACGUG